UUAUUUAUUUACAAUAGGAAAAGAGUUGAAAAAAAACUGCUAUAUGGUUGCAUUGACAACCCUAAUACAUUGCUUCGGAAGUGUACAUUCAAGUGGUUUCAAAUUUGUUGAGAAGAUUUAUUUUGUUGAAUAUCACAAACACACGGUACUAACCAGGCUCCUUGUACUCCCGGCACUGAUUUUUUUAAGGGCAGCGAAUUUAAGAAUCCUGGUAGUAAUCAGAUACGACCUAGGGUUCACCCCUCUUUUUACAAUACUUACAUUUAAGUUCAACCCAAAUGGGUCUAAAAGAUACUGACUGUGACCAGUUAAGCAAUUCUCUCAAAGCAUAAUCCUUUGAAUUUUGAAAAAAAAGUGUUGUUUUUUUAAUGAGGCGGUUACAACGAGUGGCCUUCAAUGGGCAAUGUUUUUUUUUCUUUGAUCAUAUUUACAUAAUGAGUCUGUGGGCUAUAGAAGCAAGGCUAUCGUGCCCAGUAAACAUUUCAGCCCGGCAUGGCGGGUUCAUACAGACAUUUGUGUGCUGUCUUGGCUCUCUGUAUUUUUGUCCAGACUUGUGGCCAACAGACGUCGUGUGGAGCUGCAAACAAGACAAGUACAGUCGCUACCGUUUACGUCUUUAAUCAGCUGCGUUGGCAUGACCUUGUUGGGCUUAUUCCACGCUCUCAUGAUUGGAACUGGGUGGAUCGUCUUCAAGAAGUUGAUGGUCACCUAGAACAUGUCUUACUGAAAGGCAAAAGGCAGCUGGAACGUACAGGAGACCUUGUCUCCCUCGUCGACGGUAGUUGCUUGGCCAAUCCAUGUGAUGCGAAGGCCUCCUGUACAAAUACCCCCACUUCGGCUGCGAGCUGUUCCUGCAAAGCUGGCUAUACGGGUGAUGGUCUCAUCAGUGGAACCGGGUGUUCAGGUGUUAAGUUUGUAAAGUUCAUGUACAAGACCAGUAUGUGGUUAAUAUUGAUCUCUUUAAAAACACCUGAUUUUCUCACUUUAAAGGUCACUGUUAUCGAUAGAAACAAACUGUUUCAUGGUUUGUGUACAGGAUAAAGGCACAUAUAUUAACUAUUUUACAGCUUUUAUAUUGACCAAACUUGAUGCGAUGCAUUUCGAAACGUGUUCAUUUGUUCUAGAGCCCUUCAACUUUGAUAGAUUACCCACAAUGCCGAAUGUUUUUUUUUCAUGCACUUCAAACCGAGAAUGAUCUAGUUUCUAUAUCCGUUAUGCCUGUCUGUGUUUUUUGCAGUCAACAUAACCAAAGAACAUCUGUGAUGGUUAUGGUGAUGUUUAGAACGUAGGUAGGUGUUUGGAAGAAGAAGCUCCAUGUAAAUUUUAGGGCCCCUAGUAUGCUGUUUUGAUAUUACAAUAGAACGUCAGUUUUUAGUAUCUUUUGAAGUGAGCGUGCUAUGGUCUGGUUGUUUUGGUUUGUGGCAGAUAACGUGUAUUAGACGGAGGAAGUGGUGUAUAUUUGGGCCCUCUGUCAAGAUGUUCUGGAACUGCAGGUGUAGUUUUGUCGAAAUCUUCUAAGAAGAAUUUCUGAACAAAUUAUAGACGGAUUUCCAUGAUUUGGUAGGCAGGUAGCUUUGCCAAAAAAGAGCAUAAUGUAAACUAGAGUUCGUCGACCUUAUACCUUCAUGAAAUAUUUAGAACUUUGGCAAAUUUUCAUGCAAAUGGCUAGCACAUUUACUUGAUUUAUGCAAUGGUGAUGUUAAUCAUUGACUAACAUACACAUGUCACAAGUAUAAAAUUUCCAUCAUUAAUCAU